rnacentral:rRNA from 1 species
CUACGGGGGGCUCCAGUGAGGAAUAUUGCACAAUGGGGGGAACCCUGAUGCAGCAACGCCGCGCGGAGGAUGACGCAUUUCGGUGUGUAAACUCCUUUUAUAUGUCAAGAAAAUGACGGUAGCAUAUGAAUAAGCACCGGCUAACUCCGUGCCAGCAGCCGCGGUAAUACGGAGGGUGCAAGCGUUACUCGGAAUCACUGGGCGUAAAGGACGCGUAGGCGGGUUGGAAAGUCAGGUGUGAAAUCCUACAGCUUAACUGUAGAACUGCACUUGAAACUUCUAAUCUAGAGUAUGGGAGGGGGAGAUGGAAUUAGUGGUGUAGGGGUAAAAUCCGUAGAUAUCACUAGGAAUACCUAAAGCGAAGGCGAUCUCCUGGAACAUUACUGACGCUAAGGCGUGAAAGCGUGGGGGGCAAACAGGAUUAGAUACCCGAGUAGUC